AUUAAACGCUGGCGGCAUGCCUUACACAUGCAAGUCGAACGGCAGCACGGGGGCAACCCUGGUGGCGAGUGGCGGACGGGUGAGUAAUACAUCGGAACGUGCCCUGGAGUGGGGGAUAACGCAGCGAAAGCUACGCUAAUACCGCAUAUUCUGUGAGCAGGAAAGCAGGGGAUCGCAAGACCUUGCGCUUUGGGAGCGGCCGAUGUCGGAUUAGCUAGUUGGUGGGGUAAAGGCCUACCAAGGCGACGAUCCGUAGCGGGUCUGAGAGGAUGAUCCGCCACACUGGGACUGAGACACGGCCCAGACUCCUACGGGAGGCAGCAGUGGGGAAUUUUGGACAAUGGCGGAAGGCCUGAUCCAGCCAUGCCGCGUGAGUGAAGAAGG
rnacentral:rRNA from 1 species